rnacentral:ncRNA from 9 species
GUGCAUUGUAGUUGCAUUGCAU